rnacentral:lncRNA from 1 species
AUGGGAAGGUUAUGUAUGAGAUGACUGAGCUUUUAAAUUGUCUCAUCUAUAUUUCCAAGAGAAAAUUAUAUCAAUACUUCUGACCAUGAGCAUUCUGUAGGAAAUAUUGAAAUUGACCUGAAUCAUGCAGAUAUUACUUCCUUGGUUGUAAGUAGAAAUACUGAGUGUGGGAAGUAGAUAAAACACCAGGGCUAUAAAAGGUUUACUGUGGGAUUUUAAGAGAAGUAAAAAAACCAAUUAUGCAAGCCUCUUUCUUUCAUUUGUAGUAGGUGAAUAGAUGUCUGUGGAUUGGAGUGUUGUUUAUGUAACUCAAACUUUUAAAGGGGGAUGAUAAGAGUCAUCCUGGAAAUCAUAGGCUAGUUAGUUUUUACUUCUGUUGUGUGAAAAAUUUUAGCAUUAUAAAAGGAUACUUACAAAAUAAUUUAGUGAAAUAUGAUGUUAUAAAUGAUAAUCAACAUAGGUGCACCAAAGGGAUUUUUUUUUCUUACUAACCACUCCUUUUUUUUUGAGGAUUAGGUAUCUGAACAAAGGAGAGAGUGUGGACUUGAUGUAUUUAGUUUUCAGAAAAAAAUUUUUUGUUAAGGGCCUGAAACUUACAGUAAAGAAAGUAUAUGUGAAAAGAAACACUUUAUCUCCCCCAUCUCUGCAUCAUCCAAGUUUUCUGUGUUUCAGGUGCCAGAAAAUCAAGAUAAAUGUAGUAAAUUUUUAGAAGAAAAAAUAUGUAAAUUUGAACCAGUGCUCUGAAGCUUCUGAUUUGGAAAGAAUGGAACAUGGAGUUUCUGAUUGGUGUGGAUAUCUCAAGAAAUGUAUUUUGAGUCAAAUGCAUCUUACCACUGCAUAAAAGAGAGGAUUAUACUUGACUUUUACCACAAUCCCAGAAGUUCGUAUCUAGAUUGUUAGAGAAAUACAGAGAGAAAAGACUUAGACAGAAAGCAAAUCAAGAAUGGCACAAAGUGCUUGAAAGAAGCUGGAUAAAAAGAAUAGAAAAAGAGUGCCAGAAAAGAACUGAAGAAUAGCAUACUCUUCUUAGUACACAGUAUAAACAUAAUGUUGUUAAGCUACAAGACCUUUUAGCUGCUCACCAAGCCAUUAUUGCUCUGACGAAAGAGAAAACAGACUGCAUGAAUAGCAUGAAAAUAGCAUUUAUGAGGAGGGCCUGUGCAUUGAUUGUAGAAACCGUGGGUGUGUUCUGUGGAUCUAGAGGUCAACGACUAGGAGUAGAUGAGUCUAAUGUUACUUCUAGUCUUUCGUCUGGUGGACAUUCAGCAAAAACGUCAUAAUUCCUGGUUAGCUAGUGAUAAGUUUUCACAAUAAAACAAUUUUACCUCAACAGCCAAAUUCUCAUAUCAGCUCUUCGUUCAACAAAGAUGCGGUUGCCCCAAAUGGAAAUUUUGAUACCUGUUACAUGACUGCUGAGGGUAUUUAAGUCUGACGUCUCCAUAGUUCUAUCUUGAUUUCUUUUUAUCCCGCUGGAUAUUCUCGAUUCCAGCAGCCAGAGAAUAGUGAAAAAGAAGCUUGGCCAGUUUUGGUAGCCCAGUACUGUAAAUGAUGAAUAAAAUAAAAGAAUGGUAAUGAAAAGAAGAAACUUUUCCAUAGCAGAAAAUCGAGUACUUGGAAUAAUUUUUUCCCCUUUAAAAUAAUGUGACGUUUCUUUAAGCUUUGAAAAGUAUGUCAAUAUACGGUGCAUAAUAUUUCGUAAGUAAAAUACAUUUAUUAACUAAA